rnacentral:rRNA from 1 species
AUUGAACGCUGGCGGCAGGCUUAACACAUGCAAGUCGAGCGAGCGGCGGACGGGUGAGUAAUGUCUGGGAAACUGCCUGAUGGAGGGGGAUAACUACUGGAAACGGUAGCUAAUACCGCAUACCAUCAGAUGUGCCCAGAUGGGAUUAGCUAGUAGGUGGGGUAAUGGCUCACCUAGGCGUCGACCCCUAGCUGGUCUGAGAGGAUGACCAGCCACACUGGAACUGAGACACGGUCCAGACUCCUACGGGAGGCAGCAGUGGGGAAUAGUGCACAAUGGGCGAUAGCCGGAUGCAGCCAUGCCGCGUGUGUGCAGAAGGCCUUCGGGUUGUCAAGCAAUUUCAGCGAGGAGGCGUUACUCGCAGAAGAAGCACCGGCUAACUCCGUGCCAGCAGCCGCGGUAAUUC